rnacentral:rRNA from 1 species
GACGAACGCUGGCGGCGUGCCUAAUACAUGCAAGUUGAGCGCUGAAGGUUGGUACUUGUACCAACUGGAUGAGCAGCGAACGGGUGAGUAACGCGUGGGGAAUCUGCCUUUGAGCGGGGGACAACAUUUGGAAACGAAUGCUAAUACCGCAUAAAAACUUUAAACACAAGUUUUAAGUUUGAAAGAUGCAAUUGCAUCACUCAAAGAUGAUCCCGCGUUGUAUUAGCUAGUUGGUGAGGUAAAGGCUCACCAAGGCGAGGAUACAUAGCCGACCUGAGAGGGUGAGCGGCCACAUUGGGACUGAGACACGGCCCAAACGCCUACGGGAGGCAGCAGUAGGGAAUCUUCGGCAAUGGACGAAAGUCUGACCGAGCAACGCCGCGUGAGUGAAGAAGGUUGUCGGAUCGUAAAACUCUGUUGGUAGAGAAGAACGUUGGUGAGAGUGGAAAGCUCAUCAAGUGACGGUAACUACCCAGAAAGGGACGGCUAACUACGUG